rnacentral:rRNA from 1 species
AUUGAACGCUGGCGGCAGGCCUAACACAUGCAAGUCGAGCGGAUGACGGGAGCUUGCUCCUUGAUUCAGCGGCGGACGGGUGAGUAAUGCCUAGGAAUCUGCCUGGUAGUGGGGGACAACGUUUCGAAAGGAACGCUAAUACCGCAUACGUCCUACGGGAGAAAGCAGGGGACCUUCGGGCCUUGCGCUAUCAGAUGAGCCUAGGUCGGAUUAGCUAGUUGGUGGGGUAAUGGCUCACCAAGGCGACGAUCCGUAACCGGUCUGAGAGGAUGAUCAGUCACACUGGAACUGAGACACGAUCCAGACUCCGACGGGAGGCAGCAGUGGGGAAUAUUGGACAAUGGGCGAAAGCCUGAUCCCGCCAUGCCGCGUGUGUGAAGUAGGUCUUCGGAUUGUAAAGCACUUUAAGUUGGGAGGAAGGGCAGUAAGUUAAUACCUUGCUGUUUUGACGUUACCGGCAGAAUAAGCACCGGCUAACUCUGUGCCAGCCGCCGCCGUAA